rnacentral:rRNA from 1 species
AUGGAAGGUCAAAUUCAAGCAAUUAUUAAGCAAUGCUAUAACUCAACUCACACUGAAGUUGGAGGAUCUCCUAUUGAGACGAAGCUUGCAUUCAGAAGACAUGCCAUCAUACACAUCAAUUACAAAUAUACCAGCUCCCUUCCAAGCAAAACUGCAUCUGACAUGGUCGAAUUGGUUGAAUAUUUCGUAAAUGAAGAAUCUGAGUGCUCGCAGUUGUUCGUUUCUGUAGAGCCAUCAUCACUGGUAACAUUUAGAUCUUGCACGAGAUCACUAAUCUUUUGCUUGACAAGGCGAGAGAUUUAUUUGGCUGCAGUCCCAUCAAAAAGCAACAAUCUCAAAUACCCAUCAGCUCCAAUCUUGCUCAGGUUGUUUUAG